UUGGCAAAACAUUGAACUGACUUAUUUUUGUUCAUUGAAGUAUCUUUUGAUGGCUGUAUCUCCCUUUACGAAGGAAGUUGUGCUGCUCUCCAUAGAAAUAUCAAGAACAUACAGACCCUACUCUUGAAUUGCCAAAAUCGUCUUGCGUGCUCAUCUGCCUCAGCUUAUUCUCUGGUUUGUUGUUUCAGGGCUCAGUGCAGUGAUGUUUAGGGAUGUGGCACUAGUCUUCUCAGGACGAGUGGGGCCAGCCAGAUCCUGCUAGGAAGGAUUUGUACAGGGACGUGACACUGGAGAACUUCAGCAACUUCAUCUCUAGGUUCUUCUAUUUCCAGGCCAGAUGUGAUCUCCUUAUCGGAACAAGGGAAAGAACCCUUGGGGGCACAAAGAGAUGUGACAGGAAGCCUGUGCCCAGCUGAGUGAAGGAUCAUUAAGAAGGGCAGUGGCGCUGUAGAUCAUGUAUCCUCAUGGGAGAAAAUGGAAAAAUUUAUAAACAAAGAUCCUGAGGACCCCAUGUUCCAGGAUGACUGGGAAUAUAAAGGCAUAUUUGAGAGACAUCAAAGAAAUGAGGAAGGAAAUUCCAGUCAAGUGAUAAUCACCCAGGAAGAGUAUCUACUGUGAGACAGCAAACUUCCCAUAACCUGUAUCAGAAAGUUCCACCUGGAAGUAGGCCCUAUGCAUAACGAAUGUAGAGAAGAGUUUCGGCAGAAGACAUCCCUUCUAAGUCACCAGAAAAUGUAUACUGCUGACCGAUCUGAAGAAUGCAAGCAACAUGGGAAGGCUUUCUCCAUCACUGUUCUGAUCCCCCUCAACAUCAUAGAACUCACACUGGGAAAGACCCCGUGAAUGUAAAGAAUGUGGAAGGACCUUUAGUCCUAUUUCCCUCUUUACCCAACACCAGAGAAUUCCUACUGGUGAGAAAACCUAUGAAUGUAAGGAGUAUCAAAAAAGCUAUAUUCAGCUCUCAAAACUUAAUGCACAUCAUAGAAUGCAUACUAGGGGAAAAUUCUAUCAAUAUACUGAAUGUGCAAAAACUUGUCACUAAUUAUUCAACAUCAGAGAAUUCAUACUGGAGAAAACCCUAUGACUGUAAGGAAUGUGGAAGGCCUUUAGAGGUAUCACACAACUUCAUGAACAUCAAAGAAUAUAUACCAGGGAGAAGCCAUACAAAUGUAAUGAAUGUGGAAAGGCCUUCGGUCAUCAGUCAUAUCUUCCUCAAUAUCAGAGGAUCCAUACUGGUGAGGCACCUUAUAAACGUAAGGUUUGUGGGAAGGCCUUUAGGCAGGGCUCAAAGCUUUAUCAUCACCAGAAAAUUUAUACUAAGUGAGAAAUCAUAUAAAUGUAAUGGAAGCUUUUGGUCGAAUUUCAUAAUUUAAUGAGCAUUAGCACCCUUACUGGUGAGAACCUUUCUCACUGUACUGAAUGUGGAAAAGCUUUUAGUCACUUAACACUAGUUAUUCGACAUUAGAAAAUUCAUACUGGUGAAACUCACUAUAAAUGUCAGGAAUGUGGGAAAACCUUUAGUCAGGGUUCACAACUUACUCAACAUUAUUUGUUAUGUAUGUAGUAAUGUGGGAAGGCCUUCAAGACACAGUCAUCUUUCUUAGUUUUAAGGAAUUCAUGCCAUAGAAACUUCCUAUAAAUAAGUGAAGGAAAUAUUUCACUGGUCUUGUCCCUGAAAGAACAUCAAAUAAUUUAUUAUUAUGUAUAACCUUGUCCAAUAUGGAAAUGCUUUAUCUUUCAGCUCAUGUUGCAUUUAUCAGCAGAUUCACAUCAUUAUGUCAUCAUUACGUCAUCACUAAAGACCAUAUUAAUAUGGUAACGUAGAAGAGCUCCCCCUACUAUCUAUCAAUUAUUAAUUAUUUUACAAUUUAUGACGGCAAACAACCAUGCAAGUGGAGAAUUUUGAAAACCCAUUACCGUAAGCUAAUCCUAAUUUACAGAAAAGGAUGCAUAAGAGAAAGUCACGCUUUAUAUGUCACAUAUAUGGGAAUUUCUUUAGCCAUAAGGCUCUUUUAAUGAGAAGAUUCAUACUGAUGAAUAUAAGUUUUAAAACCCCCAUUCAGAACUUGCCAUUUAUUGUGCAUCAGAAAAUGCAAAGUUGAGGGGCGCCUGGGUGGCUCAGUUCGUUAAGUGUCUGACUUCUGCUCAGGUGAUGAUCUCAUGGUUCGUGGGUUCGAGCCCUGCGUCAGGCUCUGUGCUGACAGCUCAGAGCCUGGAGCCUGCUUCAGAUUCUGUGUCUCCCUCUCUCUCUUUCUCUCUGUCCCUCCCCAGGUUGUGCUCUCUCGGAAAAAAAAUAAAUAAACAUUAAAAAAAGAUGCAAAGUGAAUAAAACUCCAGGCAUGUAAAACAACAGUUAAGCGUUUAACUAUUAAAGAAGUUGAAGAAGAUGUGCAGAAGUUUGUAACAAAUCAUACAGGGAUAUAACUCAGGUAAAAAUGUGAUAAGUUAGACAUUAACAAAGUCACCUUUAUGUUACCUAAUAUUUUCUGCUUCAGUUAAACAAGAAGACUCUGAAGUGAAUAAGAGCAGUACAUAACAAAACCUGUGGGAUGUGGCCAUGUUACUACCCAAAGAAGUUAUAAUUUUAAAUGUGUUUAUAGGUCAGAAAACUAUAAACACUGGAAUAAGUGAACCAGAGACCUCUUGAGAAGCUAGAAAAUGAGCAUAACUCAGCAAUCAAAGAAUGUUUUGAAAUUAUGAGAGAAGUAGGUUUUGUUAACCUUGAAGCUGUUUCUUUAAAAGGAUAAUAUAAGCAUUUAGCAAAUCUCAUAACAGUACAAUUUUUCAAGCUUAGAG